rnacentral:rRNA from 1 species
AUACGUAGGUGGCAAGCGUUGUCCGGAUUUAUUGGGCGUAAAGCGAGUGCAGGUCGGUCUUUUAAGUCUGAUGUGAAAGCCCUCGGCUUAACCGAGGAAGCGCAUCGGAAACUGGGAAACUUGAGUGCAGAAGAGGACAGUGGAACUCCAUGUGUAGCGGUGAAAUGCGUAGAUAUAUGGAAGAACACCAGUGGCGAAGGCGGCUCUCUGGUCUGUAACUGACGCUGAGGCUCGAAAGCGUGGGUAGC